GACUCCUUUUCCAAGUGCAGGGCAUCCAGCUUGGAGCUCAGCUCGGAACCACUCUGUAAACCCCCCCCCAGAGGAGAGAGUGAGGCCCUCGGCCCUCCUCGACAGGCCUGACCUUCCCAACUCAGCUCAACUCAGCUGUGGUCAUCACUCCAAACCCUUCACAAUGCCUGUGACCCACCCCCCCAGCUCUAAUGUCACCCAGCACUGUUGGGCCUCCACAGCUGUCCAGUCCAACCUGUACCUGACCAAGAAUCCCUCCUACAGCCUCCCCAACAGGUGGCCAUCCAGGCUCUGUUUGGAAAUCUUGAGUGAGGGAGAGCUCAUCCUCCCUCCAAUCCAAGACAGCCCAUUCCCCUUUGGGAAGGCUCUGAUGGCUGGCAAGCUGGGCCUUGGAGCAGCCUGAAAUCUGUAUCUGCCUCUCACUGUUCCCCAGAUCUGCUCUCUGAGGCCAAGAGGAAUACGCCCAGCCCUCUUCCACCAGCUGGGAGUUUAGAGGCUGCAGGCCCUCCUGACCCAGGCCAGCCCUCGUCUCUUCACAUAGCCCAAGACUGCAUCAACUUUCCGGGCUCAUCGGGAGCCUCUGGACCCCCAAACCUGCGGAUCUCUUACAGAUAACGUAUCCCACAUCACUGGAGGGAUUCUGUAUACAUUAACAUAUAUUGGCUCUUUCCCUUAUCGGAAGCAAGACCGCUCAGAGCUGGGUCCGUGAGGAGAACGUCCGACAUUUAUCCCGUGCUUUCUGGGCAUUCCAGUCUUGUUCAGUGCGCGCUCCUCACAACCAGAGGCUGCUCGGCUUUCCUAUUUGUACCCGCCGUGCUUGGGAUGCAGCAGGCAAUUGGCCAGGGCUUUGCUUCCAUCCAUCCAUUAUUUCAUUUGAGCCUCCCAGCCUUCACUGGCCAAGAUGUCCCGGAGGUAGAGAACUCCGGCUGAGGAAACCUUCUACUAAUGCAGGCGGCUCCCUUUUCUGCAAUUCCAAAGGCUCGAUGAGAGUCACCCAGCACAACGACAGAUUGGGUGACUCCCCUCAGCUCAUCUAACCGGUGCUCUUCAGAAGCAGGACUUUAACUCGGGUGUUCCUAACUCCGGGGCUGCCUCUCUGAGGUGGCUACUACGGAUAGUCUCAUCAUCCUUCUUAUACCUAUCUAGAGCUACGUCGUGAUUCUAUAUUGUUAUAUAA